UUGGAGGGCAAGUCUGGUGCCAGCAGCCGCGGUAAUUCCAGCUCCAAUAGCGUAUAUUAAAGUUGUUGCAGUUAAAAAGCUCGUAGUUGAAUUUCGGGAUCAAUGUUUCGGUCAUGCCGUUGGUAUGUACUGAUAUUAUUGAUUUCUCACCUUCUAAAGAACCGUAAUGCCAUUAAUUUGGUGUCACGGGGAAUUAGGACUGUUACCUUGAAAAAAUUAGAGUGUUUAAAGCAGGCUCACGCUUGAAUACAUUAGCAUGGAAUAAUGAAAUAGGACAUCCGAUUCUAUUUUGUUGGUUUCUAGGAUCGAUGUAAUGAUUAAUAGGGAUAGUUGGGGGCAUUAGUAUUCAAUUGUCGGAGGUGAAAUUCUUGGAUUUAUUGAAGACUAACUACUGCGAAAGCAUUUGCCAAGGAUGUUUUCAUUAAUCAAGAACGAAAGUUAGGGGAUCGAAGACGAUCAGAUACCGUCGUAGUCUUAACCAUAAACUAUGCCGACUAGGGAUCGGAUGAUGUUAAUUUUUUAAUGACUCAUUCGGCGCCUUACGGGAAAC
rnacentral:rRNA from 1 species